rnacentral:rRNA from 1 species
GAUGAACGCUAGCGAUAGGCUUAACACAUGCAAGUCGAGGGGCAGCACGGUGUAGCAAUACACUGGUGGCGACCGGCGUACGGGUGCGUAACACGUAUGCAACCUACCCGCUAUUGGGGGAUAACCCGGCGAAAGUCGGACUAAUAUCCCAUAUUAUUCUUACCGGGCAUCCGGUGAGUCUGAAAGAUUUAUCGAUUGCGGAUGGGCAUGCGGAUGAUUAGCUAGUAGGUGGGGUAACGGCUCACCUAGGCGACGAUCAUUAGGGGUUCUGAGAGGAACGGUCCCCCACACUGGAACUGAGACACGGUCCAGACUCCUACGGGAGGCAGCAGUGAGGAAUAUUGGUCAAUGGGCGCUAGCCUGAACCAGCCAAGUCGCGUGAAGGAUGACAGAUCUAUGGUUUGUAAACUUCUUUUGCAGGGGAGUAAAGUGCGACACGUGUGUUGUAUUGCAAGUACCCUGCGAAUAAGCAUCGGCUAACUCCGUGCC